rnacentral:tRNA from 1 species
CAUAAAAGAAUCAUGAAAAUUAG